AGGGGUGUGCAGGAGAGUGCCAGGGGAUGGUCAGUUGAGGGUCAUGGCUUCCCCUCUGCCUGACCUCGUUUGUGUUGCUUUUUCUCCUUUAAUUGUUUUCUCUCAUCCUUGCUUGUGUUGCCUCAAGUCACUUGCGGCAUACUGUGAUGAGCCCCUGGUCCCUGGUCCCUGGUCCCUGGUCGAGUGCCAGUCUUGGGGGACCUGUGGGAGUGGCACCUUCUUCUUCUUCUUUUGACCUGUGUUGUGGUAGUUUUUCCAGUCUUCUAUUCUUCCAGAGUUAAUGGUUGAAACACUACUAGUAUAUCCCCUGGUCCCUGGUCCCUGGUCCCUGGUCGAGUGCCAGUCUUGGGGGACCUGUGGGAGUGGCACCUUCUUCUUCUUCUUUUGACCUGUGUUGGGGUAGUUUUUCCAGUCUUUUUUUUUUAGAACACACACAAAACCCUUAAAGUUUUAUAUAGUGGAGGAAGCUGUGGGGCCAGGACGAGCAGGAGCAGACAGCCUCUACCACCAUCAUCACCACCACCACCACCACCGCCACCACCGCCACCACCACCACCUUGCUGCCGACCCCUCCAGCCAUAAAGGAAAGGGAACAUUUAGUGUGAGAAGAUUGGAGACUGAGAGCAGGUUCACCAGACACAGCCUUGCUCUCACCGCUGAAGGAAACCAUGAGUGCCCAGAGUGUGGCCACAGACUCCCUGGGAAGGAUGGCCUCUACAAUUACACCCACGCACUCUUCUGGAAAUACUCAUGAGUGUCGAGAGUGUGGCAAAGAGUUCAGUUGUAAGCAUAGCCUCGACGCACACACCCUUACACACACUGGUGAAAGACCUCAUGAAUGCCGAGAGUGUGGCAAAGUGUUCACUCAGAAGGGUACUCUCAACAGACACGUCCUCACACACUCCGGUGAGCGACAUUACGAGUGUCGAGAGUGUGGCAAAAGGUUCCAGAGGAGGAGUUAUCUCACAGUACACCUCGCGAAACACACCGGGGAACGAUCUCACGAGUGCCGAGACUGCGGCAAAAAGUUCUUCAGUAAGAGAGACCUCACUGAACACACCCGCACCCACACUGGCGAACGGCCCCAUGAGUGCGUCGAGUGCGGCAGAAAGUUCACGAAGAAGCAUACCCUCAAAACGCACGUCCUCACACACUCCGGCGUAAAACCUCAUGAAUGCCCCCAAUGUGGCAAGAGAUAUUUCUGGAAGGGUGCGUUGAACUCACACGUCCGUACCCACACCGGCGAACGACCUCACGAAUGCCAAAAGUGCGGUAAAGGGUUCCGCAACAGGAGCGACCUCAACGCACACACGCUGAUCCACACCGGGGAAAAACCGCAUCAGUGCCGAGAGUGUGGGCGGAGAUUCGCGCGGAAGUCCAGUCUCACUCUACACGCACUCACCCACACUCACGAAAGGCCUCACGAGUGCGUAGAGUGUGGCAACAGAUUCGCGAGUAAGUAUCGCCUCAACACACAUAUGCUAAGACAUUCUGGCUUGAGGGAGUUUAAGUGUGACCUUUGUGGGAAGCUUUUCAAGGUGAAGCAAGAUAUUGUCCACCAUAUGAAAAUCCACUUUCCCUGAGGUGGAGGUGGAGGUGGAGGGGAGUGGUCAGCAGCUCCGCCCUGGACAAGAAUCCCCGACCUCUGGAAUGCAAGUGCUCAGUUUUGGGGGAGGAAGAAGAUGAAGAGGAAGAUGAAGAGGAAGAAGAAGAUGAGGAGGAAGAAAAUGAAGAAGGAGGAGGAGAAGAAGAAGAAGAAGAAGAAGAAGGAAG